rnacentral:rRNA from 1 species
UACGGGGGGGGUAAGCGUUGUUCGGAAUUACUGGGCGUAAAGGGCUCGUAGGCGGCCAACUAAGUCGGACGUGAAAUCCCUCAGCUUAACUGGGGAACUGCGUCCGAUACUGGAUGGCUUGGAUUUGGGAGAGGGAUGCGGAAUUCCAGGUGUAGCGGUGAAAUGCGUAGAUAUCUGGAGGAACACCGGUGACGAAAGCGGCGCGCUGGACCUCUUCUGACGCUGAGGCGCGAAAGCCAGGGGAGCAAACGGG